UACGUAGGGGGCUAGCGUUGUCCGGAAUCAUUGGGCGUAAAGAGCGCGUAGGCGGCUGGAAUAGUCCGGUGUGAAAUCCACAGGCUUAACCUGUGAAUGCCGCUGGAAACUGUCUGGCUAGAGUCCGGAAGGGGCGAGUGGAAUUCCUGGUGUAGCGGUGAAAUGCGCAGAUAUCAGGAGGAACACCAAUGGCGAAGGCAGCUCGCUGGCCCGGUACUGACGCUGAGGUGCGAAAGCGUGGGGAGCAAACAGG
rnacentral:rRNA from 1 species